UAGGCUGAAACUCGCCUACAUGAAGCUGGAAUUGCUAGUAAUCACAGGUCAGCAUACUGUGGUGAAUACGUUCCCGGGCCUUGUACACACCGCCCGUCACACCAUGAGAGUUGAGAAUACCCGAAGCCCAUGUCAAAGUGGUCGAAGGUAGGCUUGAUGAUUGGGGUGAAGUCGUAACAAGGUACC
rnacentral:rRNA from 1 species